GUAACGACGGCGUAACGACGGCGUAACGACGGCGUAACGACGGCGUAACGACUCCUCAGUGACCCGCUGAGGCGGCGCUGGAUCCCUGCAGGUGUUUUCACCUGUAGCCGCCAGCAAAGCACCUGGCAGGUUAAUGAUUCUUACACGGUCUGCGGACCCUGGCGGGUCUGAUUAGGGGCGGAGCUUCAGGAAAGUGUUUGGUACUAAAACAGGACGAGUUCCCAGCCUGAGCAGAACCUUCUGUCCUAAAGACUUUACCGUAAAACACUUUUUCUCUCUUUUCUGAGAUUAAACAUUAACAACUUUGUGAUAAAAUGGUCAACAAUUAAAGACUAAAUCCAGAAAACCAUGAGAAACGAUAAGGCCUAAAUAUUUGUACUAAUUCAAGCUUCGUGUUUUUCACUGUAAGAACCGUGAGAACGGUUCCAGAACCUUUCCUGACCCGGUCCGUUUCUCCAGAACCGGCUGUGGUUCCGGUCUGCAGGUCAGAACUUCUCCUGAAGGCUGAAAUAAACUCCCGUGUUCUCCAGAACAGCAGUGUGAGGCGUUCAGGUGUUCCUUCGUCAGUGUUCUUGGGUUUGGGUUCUGCAGCUGAGGAACGUCAGCUUUUCUCACUUUUCUGUCGUGACGUCUGAAUGAGCCUCACACCGACGUUCAGAGCUGAGGGACGCCCCUGAAGGCCAGGUGGACUCACCUGGGCGCACCUGGACACACCUGAGCACACAUGAACACUGCGACCCAACACCCAGGGGACUUUGGCCCCGCCUCCACCCACAGGUGCUGCCUCUGGCUCCGCCUCCACCCACAGGUGCUGCCUCUGGCUCCGCCUCCACCCACAGGUGCUGCCUCUGGCUCCGCCUCCACCCACAGGUGCUGCCUCUGGCCUGGCGACCUCAGCAGGUGCUGCAGGUGUGUUCUGUUCCACUUCCUGUUGGGGAGAAAUCUCUGACUGUUAGAACUCUAACGAUGCUUUUAUUUUCUCAGUUUGGAAACGAUGUAUAUUUUAAAACAAAUAAAAUAUUUUAAACGUA